CAGCGCACUCCGGGGUCGGUGUAAUUCCGAACCGGCGGUUAUAGUCCGCGACCCGUCCGCAGCCAGCGGCCGGUUGACAGGUGAGAUUCCUGGACCGACGGUUAAAGUCCGGAUGGGAGGCAGUGCGCGG
rnacentral:ncRNA from 2 species